UGUUGAUGGUGUGGACAGUCCCUAAGAAUAGCCUUAAACCGCUCCCAAGCAUGAUAAAGACUCUCAUCUGGCUUCUAUUUGAAGCACACUAUCUUACUGCGAAGUCU
rfam:Capsicum annuum cultivar Zunla-1 chromosome 7, whole genome shotgun sequence